UCAAGACGUCAAUUGAGGGGUUUUCUUUCCCACUCACUCUUCCCGUUUCAGGGUUCUUCUCUCUCUUGUCCUGCAUUCCGUCGGCGAUAUAACCUCCGGCGAGUCGGCGACACCUGAAAUCAAUCCUAUAUCAGAAACUUCAGCUAAAAUUGAGAAAUCAUGAAGUGGAACAGUAUGAAGCCCUUUAAGAAGCUAUUAGUAUCCCAAGGAGGAUCAACUGCUGGGCGUAAUUCUGCGGGCCGUAUUACGAUCUACCACCGAGGGGGUGGGGCGAAGAGAUUGCAGCGUAAAGUCGAUCUAAAGAGGAGCACUUCAUCUAUGGGUGUGGUAGAGAGGAUAGAGUAUGAUCCCAAUCGCUCCUCUAAUCUUGCUUUAGUUCGAUGGAUCGAGGGUGUGCAUCCAAGCAAUCAAAGGGAUGGUGAUAAAGACUUCUCUCCUCCACAAAAGUUCACUGAACCUAUCACUACAAAAGUAAUUGGUCAGUUCCCGUUAGCUUGUUUAGCUCCUGGACUCCUGCGUAGUAAUGUAUUCAAUAAGAAUGUUGGGGGAAAAAUGAGUAGUGUGAAGGAUGUGUUUGUUUCUGCUUUUGCCUCUAAACGUGGAAAAGGAGAGUCUUUAACUAAUAUCCCCCGAGCAGCUGUAUCCGGGGCAAAACCAGCUGUGUUUUCUUCAAAGAAUGGAGAGAAAGUCAGUGAAGAUGAGAGAAAGUUUUCUGUUUCUGAUGUACAAAGGUGGAGGAAAGAUAGUAGUCUUUGGGAUCAUAAACUCAAGCGUAAAGCAGCUGUACCUUGGUUGAGUUUUGUCCAUGAUGAGCCUGUGGGGCUUGCCAAGGCAGCUCUUCUGAAUGACAAGUCAGGUGGGAAGUCGUCCAAGAAUGUGAACAUGGUUGAUCGUGCACCACUCACUUAUAUAUUAGCGAGUGACAAACUGGAAGCGGGGAAGGUUGUGAUGAACUAUGAUUGGUCCACACGCACUACUCGCAGCUGAAGUUCCGAAAGUUGCAAGUCAAAUAAUGCGCCUAAUGCACUCGUGGCCUUCCUCAUUUGUGUUCGUAUAUUUGUGUGUAUAGGUAAUUAGUUACAGGUACAAGAAGACGGUAGAAUGAAUAAGCUGAUUUGAAGGUGGAAAAGGCAUGUCUUGUGAGUUCUGUUUGGUGAUGUAGGUGUUGCAAAUAGCCUUCACAAGACCAUAAUUUCUGCAAUACCAUCAACAGAACCACUAAAUGUGGAUGCUGUCUCACAGUGUUGAGUAUUUUUUUUGUACGGACACCAAUUCUAGAUCCAAAGUGGAAUAGAGAGAAUAUACCAACUUGUUUGUUUGAGUUACUCCCUUUGUUUAACUUGACGCCUCAGGAAAUCAUGUAUUGAAUUUUGUCACAUUUGACUGGUUUGCAUUUCAGAGGCAUUUUUUUGACUGGUUUAAGGAUAGUCAUCGGACUCAUCUCAUCGCUCAUCAGGCUUCAGUGCCUUGUUGCAUUGUACUCAUUGAAAACUUGUGAAGCUUGUUUGCUUACUUCCAUCUUGAAUAACUUAAUCAUGUAUAGAAGAGAGCUGAGUGGAAAAGAGUGGUGUUUUUGCUGUUAGUUUGUACUGAUUCAAUUUACUUUGAAGCAAUUUGUUGGUCUAUGGUAAUUUGUUAUUGGUUCUUUA